rnacentral:rRNA from 1 species
UAGGGAAUCUUCCGCAAUGGACGAAAGUCUGACGGAGCAACGCCGCGUGAGUGAUGAAGGUUUUCGGAUCGUAAAACUCUGUUGUUAGGGAAGAACAAGUACAAGAGUAACUGUUUGUACCUUGACGGUACCUAACCAGAAAGCCACGGCUAACUACGUGCCAGCAGCCGCGGUAAUACGUAGGUGGCAAGCGUUGUCCGGAAUUAUUGGGCGUAAAGCGCGCGCAGGCGGUCCUUUAAGUCUGAUGUGAAAGCCCACGGCUCAACCGUGGAGGGUCAUUGGAAACUGGGGGACUUGAGUGCAGAAGAGAAGAGUGGAAUUCCACGUGUAGCGGUGAAAUGCGUAGAGAUGUGGAGGAACACCAGUGGCGAAGGCGACUCUUUGGUCUGUAACUGACGCUGAGGCGCGAAAGCGUGGGGAGCAAACAGGAUUAGAUACCCUGGUAGUCCACGCCGUAAACGAUGAGUGCUAAGUGUUAGAGGGUUUCCGCCCUUUAGUGCUGCAGCAAACGCAUUAAGCACUCCGCCUGGGGAGUACGGCCGCAAGGCUG